GAUGAACGCUGGCGGCGUGCCUAACACAUGCAAGUCGAACGGAGUCGUUUUGGAAAUCUCUUCGGAGAUGGAUUUCUCGACUUAGUGGCGGACGGGUGAGUAACGCGUGAGCAAUCUGCCUUUAAGAGGGGGAUAACAGUCGGAAACGGCUGCUAAUACCGCAUAAAGCAUUAAAUUCGCAUGUUUUUGAUGCCAAAGGAGCAAUCCGCUUUUAGAUGAGCUCGCGUCUGAUUAGCUAGUUGGCGGGGUAACGGCCCACCAAGGCGACGAUCAGUAGCCGGACUGAGAGGUUGAACGGCCACAUUGGGACUGAGACACGGCCCAGACUCCUACGGGAGGCAGCAGUGGGGAAUAUUGCGCAAUGGGGGAAACCCUGACGCAGCAACGCCGCGUGAUUGAAGAAGGCCUUCGGGUUGUAAAGAUCUUUAAUCAGGGACGAAACAAAUGACGGUACCUGAAGAAUAAGCUCCGGCUAACUACGUG
rnacentral:rRNA from 1 species